rnacentral:misc_RNA from 1 species
CAGCCAAAGAAAAUAUUAGACUAUCUGAAAAUGCAUAUACUCUCUUGUCUGUCUCAGGCUGAGAAUUAAGCAUUUACAUUCCAAAUACCAUCAAAGCCCGAUACCACGGCUAUGUACAAUUUGCGGAUUUUCAGAAGCAAAAUGGAAAGAAAGAACAUGAACUUAAAGAGAGAUUCUCUUUCAAAAUAUAGCUCAGCCGAAGACAAUAUAUUCAACCUGAG